rnacentral:ncRNA from 2 species
GGAACACGGUGCAAUUCCGUGGCGGACCCGCCGCUGUAAUCGGUGACGAAGCUCGCAUAGCCACUGUUCGGUUCCAACUGAAUGGGAAGGGCGAGCGGAGGAAGACCCGAAAGCCAGAAGAC